CAUAAGGUAGUUUAUUAAAAUACUGGUUUUGGAAAUCAGAGAAGUUAAGUAUUUAAUCCUUUUGA
rnacentral:tRNA from 1 species